rnacentral:rRNA from 1 species
CUGGUGAUCUACCCAGGGGCAGGUUGAAGGUUGGAUAGUCUCCAACUGGAGGACCGAACCGGUACAUGUUGAAAAAUGUUCGGAUGACCUGUGGGUAGGGGUGAAAGGCCAAUCAAACCAGGAGAUAGCUCGUACUCCCCGAAAUGCAUUUAGGUGCAGCGUCGUGAAGAGUGUCAUGGAGGUAGAGCUACCGAUAGGGCUAGGGGGCUUCACCGCCUACCAACCCCUGACGAACUCCGAAUGCCAUGACAUUGCAGCGGCAGUGAGGCUAUGGGUGCUAAGGUCCGUAGCCAAGAGGGAAACAACCCAGACCAUCAAUUAAGGUCCCAAAGUAUAUACUAAGUUGAAUGAACGAGGUGGGAAUGCUAAGACAGCUAGGAUGUUGGCUUGGAAGCAGCCAUUCAUUUAAAGAGUGCGUAACAGCUCACUAGUCGAGCGUUCCUGCGCGGAAAAUAAUCGGGCAUCAAGUAUAUCACCGAAAUUAUGGAUUGUACGUAAGUACAGUGGUAGGGGAGCAUUCUAAUUGCGUUGAAGUUGUACCGUGAGGUAUGGUGGAGCGGUUAGAAAAGAAAAUGUAGGCAUGAGUAACGAUAAAAUAGGUGAGAAACCUAUUCGCCGUAAGACUAAGGGUUCCUAGAUCUAUGCUAAUCAGAUCAGGGUUAGUCGGCACCUAAGGUGUACCCGAGAGGGGAAGCCGAUGGAAAACAGGUUAAUAUUCCUGUACUUGUUUAUACUGCGAUGGGGUGACGGAGAAGCGUAAGACCUGCCAUGUGACGGAAUACAUGGUUGAAGUGCGUAGGCGUUGAUUCAGUAGGUAAAUCCGCUGAUGAGCAGAAACACGAUAGUAUUUAAUCUUGCUUGCAAGAUUGAAAUAAUGGUCCCAAGCAUACUUCCAAGAAAAACCCCUAAGCUUCAGGUAUAAACAAGCCGUACCGUAAACCGACACAGGUAGUCGAGGAGAGUAUCCUAAGGCGCUCGAGUGAUUCAUGGCUAAGGAACUAGGCAAAAUGGUCUCGUAACUUCGGGAGAAGAGACGCUCUAAUUAAAUUUAGAGCCGCAGUGAAGAGGCCCAGGCGACUGUUUAGCAAAAACACAGGACUCUGCAAAAUCGUAAGAUGAAGUAUAGGGUCUGACACCUGCCCGGUGCUGGAAGGUUAAGGAAGGUUGUUAGUCUUCGGACAAAGCAAUUGACUGAAGCCCCAGUAAACGGCGGCCGUAACUAUAACGGUCCUAAGGUAGCGAAAUUCCUUGUCGGGUAAGUUCCGACC